UGUGUUAGCAGGCGUGUCUUUCUACUAUAUGCUCUUAUCUCAAUCUCUCGAAUUCUCAUAUCAGAUCUUUGGAGAAGACUAUGAGACUGCGGAAGUUUACAAAGCUCGAACCAAAGACAUUGUUGUUGCAACUGUCCGUGGAUUUAAUGGCAAACCAAUCUCAGUUUUGGACGGAGUUCCAAUUGCUAUCAAGGAUGAGAUAGAUUGCAUGCCCUAUCCAACUACAGUAUAGUCUACUAAAAGGUGGAAACCAACCGGUGCAAAAUCAGUUCUGGAAUUCUACUGGUUUAAAGGUAUUUCUCUUGAUUGGGGUUUAAGCCUCAGAAAAAUUAACUCCUGGUGGCACGUGUUUUGUUUAAUGGUAUUUCUCUUGAUUUAAUGGUCUCAUGCAGCUAGCUUUCAACAGUAAGAUAUGAGAACCCUG